CCUGGAGAAAAUUUAAGCAAAAAAGGUGAGAAGGAAAGAAUGGGCAGUCCUAGAGAAAAGUGUCUGCUGUGAUUGGUAGAUGUGAAAAUUUAGAGGAGGUGACACAAGAGAAAAAAGUCUUUAAAUAGAAGAAAAAAAGACUGAAGAGACAGUCAGUCACCCAGGCUUGGAGUCAAGGACAGAGGAGCGACUAGAAGACUGACACCCAGACUUCUUUUAGACUGUCACAGUUGGAGCUUACAAUCUAAUGGAGAAAGGAAACACAUGAAAAAAGAAGCUGAAAAAUUGGAGGGGUGGAGGGAAGAUACCAAACAUGAGGAAGGAGUGGGACUUAAUGGAAAAGUCCAAAGAAACACAGGGAUGGAGAACUUGGUUAUUUCUGGAGGCAAAAGGGAAGGAACAAGUAGACAAGUAAAGACUGAAAAAUAAAGAAAAAUGUGUUAAAAUAGAGGGAAAUCCAGUGGAGAUGGGAGUGAGAUCAAGAGUACAAAUAAAAGGUUUGACCUUGAAAGGAGAAACCUCUUC
rnacentral:lncRNA from 1 species